rnacentral:rRNA from 1 species
GCAUCCAACGCGUGGGAGCUCUCCCAUAUGGUCGACCUGCAGGCGGCCGCGAAUUCACUAGUGAUUCGUAUUACCGCGGCUGCUGGCACAGAGUUAGCCGGGGCUUCCUCUGCAGGUACAAUCAACUCACCGGCGUAUUAGGCCGAUUCGCUUUUUCCCUGCUGACAGGAGUUUACAAUCCAAGGACCUUCAUCCUCCACGCGGCGUUGCUGCGUCAGGCGUUAGCCCAUUGCGCAAAAUUCCCCACUGCUGCCUCCCGUAGGAGUCUGGACCGUGUCUCAGUUCCAGUGUGGCCGAUCACCCUCUCAGGCCGGCUACCGAUCGUCGCCUUGGUAGGCCAUUACCCUACCAACUAGCUAAUCGGACGCGGACUCCUCCUAUGGCGAGAGAUCUUGCGACCCCCCUUUGACCUCACGGUCAUAUGCGGUAUUAGCCCGAGUUUCCCCGGGUUAUCCCCCACCUCAGGGCAGAUAAUCCACGCGUUACUCACCCGUUCGCCGCUCGACUGGGUAUUGCUACCCGCCUCGCUCGACUUGCAUGUGUAAAGCACGCCGCCAGCGUUCAUUCUGAGCCAUGAUCAAACUCUAAUCGAA